UACAGAGGGUGCAAGCGUUGUUCGGAAUUACUGGGCGUAAAGCGUGCGCAGGCGGUGAUGUAAGACAGAUGUGAAAUCCCCGGGCUCAACCUGGGAACUGCAUUUGUGACUGCAUCGCUGGAGUGCGGCAGAGGGGGAUGGAAUUCCGCGUGUAGCAGUGAAAUGCGUAGAGAUCGGGAGGAACACCAGAGGCGAAGGCGGCGACCUGGACGAGCACUGACACUCAACUACGAAAGCGUGGGGAGCAAACAGG
rnacentral:rRNA from 1 species